UAGGGAAUCUUCGGCAAUGGGGGGAACCCUGACCGAGCAACGCCGCGUGAGUGAAGAAGGUUUUCGGAUCGUAAAGCUCUGUUGUUAAGGAAGAACGAGUGUGAGAAUGGAAAGUUCAUACUGUGACGGUACUUAACCAGAAAGGGACGGCUAACUACGUGCCAGCAGCCGCGGUAAUACGUAGGUCCCGAGCGUUGUCCGGAUUUAUUGGGCGUAAAGCGAGCGCAGGCGGUUAGAUAAGUCUGAAGUUAAAGGCAGUGGCUCAACCAUUGUAGGCUUUGGAAACUGUUUAACUUGAGUGCAGAAGGGGAGAGUGGAAUUCCAUGUGUAGCGGUGAAAUGCGUAGAUAUAUGGAGGAACACCGGUGGCGAAAGCGGCUCUCUGGUCUGUAACUGACGCUGAGGCCCGAAAGCGUGGGGAGCGAACAGGAUUAGAUACCCUGGUAGUCCACGCCGUAACGAUGAGUGCUAGGUGUUAGGUCCUUUCCGGGACUUAGUGCCGCAGCUAACGCAUUAAGCACUCCGCCUGGGGAGUACGACCGCAAGGUUG
rnacentral:rRNA from 1 species